ensembl:lncRNA
CAGGGAGGCCUGGUGUGCUGCGAUUCAUGGGGUCGCAAAGAGUCAGACACGACUGAGCGACUGAACUGAACUGAUGCGAUAUUGCUCUUUACAGCAUCAGACUUUACUGCUGUCACCAGCCACAUCCAAAACUGGUACACUAUAAUAUCCCUAGAGGAGGAAAUGGCAACCCACUCCAGUAUGCCUGCCUGGGAAAUUCCAUGGACUGAGGAGCCUGGUGGGCUACAGUCCAUGGGGUCGCAGAGAGUUGGACACGAUUGACUGACUGAGCAAGCAGCACUAAAACAUGCUACAGCAAGGAGCCGUUAUCUCAUGAAGAAGGAUGGUUGUCAAAGAUCUAUUCCAGAAUGCUGACAGAGGGGCUGGCAGUUUGCAGCCGUGAGGAGAUUCCCCUCGUCCAAGUUAAGGAGCAGCGGCUGCGCUUUGCUGGAGCAGCCGUGAAGAGAUACCCCACAUCCAAGGUAAGAGAAACCCAAGAAAGACGGUAGGCACUGAGGGAGGGCAUCAGAGGGUGGACACAUUGAAACCAUAAGUGCAUAAGUAAAGAGAGCCAAAUAUAAACAGAUAGCAUGCACUGGUUAGUUAGCAAAUGGUGUCUAGCCAAAAAUAGGCAUAUCCAAUUCCUC